CAAAAGCAUUUCGUUCUCGCCUUCAUCUUCUUUUUCCAUUCUCUAUCUUUCGUUUGACACUAUCCCUCUCCUCUCUAUCUCUCUUGAAAACCCUAAUCCCUUAAUUCCCAUCGUUCUCUCCUUGAUUGGCUAUUCUCUCCUUCUGGCCUGGAUCAUUUUUCUCGGUGUUGUGACCUCGAUCCUUCCCUCUUCUCAGUGUGACAAUCUCUUUCUCUCUCAUUUUCUCAAUUUCUCUCUUACGGUGUCGCUCUCACUCUCAAACCCAGUUCUCUGUUUGUCGAUCAUUUUUUGCAUUCUAUCAGUUUCUGGAGGCAUUGUGGAGGCCAUGGAGGAAACUAUUAUAGCCAGUUCGCGACUGAAAUGGGAGACCUCAAAUGAAGGGCUAGAAAAGUGGGCCGAACACAGCAAAGGUCCUUUAAUUCCAAAUGUUUGCUCACUAGAACAGGUUAGGAUUUAGAGAGAUGAGUACCGAUUUCUGGGAGAAAUUUGUCGGAGUGACCGAAAGAUAUUUAGCUUUACAAGUUCGAUUUCUCUCUUACUUUUGAUCCUCAGAUCUGAUGAUGUCGGCUGUGAAGAUCUUCGAUUAGAUCUCGGAGAUGGAAAGGAGAAACAAGAGGAUAAAAUGAAGAGGGUGCAAUAACAGGAGAAACAUGUUAAGAGUGUUAAGGGUAGGAUUUAGGGAGAGGGAUGAUUUGUGGAAGUGAUUGCUGAUUGGAAUAUAGGUCAAAUUGAAAAGCUGGAUUUGUGGUCAUGGAGCUGUCUUUUCACUUUCAUGAUGGCAAUUGUGAGGUGAUCCAAUAGCUUUGACAGGUUAGUAGGCAUUAGAUUAAUUUAAGUUUUCUAAUGAUGUAUUCAUUCAUUGGAACCCUUGCUCUAUUGGGUCUUCCUUUAUUUUUUUUCAAUUUGUUGUUAGAAAAAGCUACAGCAAUAAUAGAAGUAUAAUGUCUAAAAUUAUUUUUAGUAUUUAAAGUAUAUAACUAUAAGUUCCAGAAUCAAUUUGGGAAUAAGGAAGUUUAUUACAGUGCACAAAAUGAGUUAAAUAAACACUAUUAUUAGAAACUGUCUCUUUUAUAUAGGGUUAAAGGUUUUUUUCCUUAUUAUUUUUGUGUAAUUUCUUUUUUCAUAGUAAACUAAUAUUGUGAAUUAUGAGUGUUCUUCUAUUGAUUUUUUAAAAUUUGUACAUCAUACUUUGCUUUACUUUUUUUUGUUUAUUUAUUUUCUUUUAAAAGUUACCGGUAUAAGCACAUGAGCUCUUGAUCUAUCAAUGUGCUCGAAGCCUACACCCGCCUUAGAAAAGUCGCGAAGUAAUCCCUCCUUACCUAUUUUCUUCAUUUAUUUAUUCUAAUACUUAUCUCAUUGAAUUAAUUUAUUGAUGUGUGUUUUGGUGCGUUGAUAUGGGGCUUUUGAAAUUGAGAAUCUGACUGGGCUAUAGAUGCUUUGUGUGCCAUUGUUUAAGAGAUACAUUUAGAAUUCAGAGAGACAGGAAUAUUUCACUUGGAUGGUUCAAAUCUUGCUUUGUUCGGAAGGAUCUUGGGAUAGAUGCUACUGGUGUAAAUUCUUCUUUUGCUGCCGGAUUGCGUGUUGAUGGAGACAGAUAAUGGGCCUAAAGCUCACCAAAAAUACUAUCUUCUCCUUCGUGCUCUCCUCGAUAGCCCUGUCAAUCUUUCUUGCUGAGCAACAAAGAUCACUGGUGCGGGCUUCAAUAACCUUGGUGAGACAUGGAAGGUGGAUAUCUCAGUCAGCGAUCCUCUCCUCUAAGGAUGGUCUGGAUAUCUAUCUUUGUCUGUAACUGAAUCCGGAUGGCCAUCGAAAGGUGGAUCCAACGAGCCUGAUGCAACAAUCGACACUGCAAAUACUUACAAUAGCAAUCUAAUAAAGCAUGUGCUGAACCAAACUGGAACUCCCAAGUAUCCUGAAAUUGCUGUUAGCACUUGCAUUUAUGAGCUCUACAACGAGGAUAUGAAGCUGGGGCCAUUGUCUGAGAAGAACUGGGGACUCUUCAAUGCAAAUGGUGCACCUAAGAAGGGAAAGACUCCUGAUUCCUGUCACUUCGAUGGAGUGGCUUCUAUCUCCACCACGGAUCCAAUGGUAAAUUCUUUCAGAAUCGGUGUCAUGUAAUUUCACUCAGGUUGGUAAGCAUUCUAUUUUGAUUGAUUCAUUCGUUUAUUCCUUUUUUUCAUUUCUGUUCGUGUUGUUUGAUUUAAUUUUUUAUUAUUUGACACCUAUUUCUGCUAAUGCUCUACCGUGCUAUUAGGUUAGGGUUUAGAGAGAUGAGUAUCGAUUUUUGGGAGAGAUUUGUUGGAGGAACCAAAAGAUAUUUAGUUUUACAAGUUCGAUUUCUCUGUUACUUCUGAUUCUUAGAUCUGAUGAUGUAGGUGGUGAAGAUCUUCGAUUAGAUCUCGGAAGUUAGUUGGGUUUAUCUUGAUUUAGGAUUUCUCAUAUAUCCUAGAAAUUGUAGGCAUUAGAUUGAAUUUGGGUUUCUAAUAUGUAAUUUAUAGUAGUUUUGAAUAAUUUUAAUUAUUUUUUUGAACUCCAUCUUAAUGAAGAGAGAUUAUUUUUCGAUUUUCUAUUACAAGGAAAAGAGAAACAAGAAGAUAACGUGAAUAGGGUACAACAACAGGAGGGUCGUGUUAAGCGUGUUAAGUUUUGAUCAUGGCCCUCCUUCUCCUUCUGUGCUCUCUUUCUUCUAUACCCCUCUAUUUGUUUUAGAGUAGGGUUUAAGGAGAUGGAUGAUUGUGGGAGUGAUUGCUAAUUGGAAUAUGGGUCAAAUUGAAAAGCUGGAUUUAUGGUCAUGAAGCUGUCUUUUCGCUUUUAUAAUGGUAAUUGUGAGGUGAUCCAAUAGUUUCGACAGGUUAGUAGGCAUUAGAUUGAUUUAAAUUUUCUAAUGAUGUAUUUAUUGGGACACUUGCUCUAUUGGGUCUUCCUUUGUUUUCUUCAAUUUGCUGUUGAAAAAGCUACAGCAAUAAUAGAAGUAUAAUGUCUAAAAUUAAUUUUAAUAUUUAAAGUAUAUAACUAUAAAUUCGAAAAUCAAUUCGGAAAUAAGAAAGUUUAUUACAGUGCACAAAAUAAGUUAAAUAAACACUAUUAUGAGAAAAUUGUCUCUUUUAUAUACGGUUAAAGGUUUUUUUUUUCUUAAUAUCUUUGUGUAAUUUCUCUUUUCGUAGUAAUCUGAUAUUGUGAAUUAUGAGUGUUCUUCUAUUGAUCUUUUAAAAUUUCUACCUGUGUUUGAAAAGAAGUGGGACAUGACCAUUUUGUGUACACUUGCUUUAUUAAAGUGGAAAAAACUGUUGAGGUCAAAAGUGAAAAAUUCUGUAAAAUUCUCUCUGGUGUGAUAUCAAUUGAUGGUUUUCUUAAUUUGUAUCUUAAAGAUACAUCAUGUGUAUCAUUACUACUCUUUAUUUUGUUCUCUUUCUGUGUCUUUGAUUUUUUGGGUUUGAUAUUCUAUUCUUUUUUUUCUGUAUAUUCAGAUACUGAUUUUUCUAUUCUUCUAUUAUGAGAAUGAACAAUUUCACUUGGAUGCAUCCAAUUUUUUGUACAAAUUGAUAGGGAAAAAUUGGUAUUUAUGGUUGAUCCUCAACUCGUUGAGAGUGACACAAUAUGCCCUGCGUAUAAUGUUUUUAAAGUUUCUACACAUGAGUUUAUGUUAAAGCUGAUUGAACGUGUUAAGAAUCGUGUUUUGAAUGCGGUUAGUUUAGUUUCCUCUAUUGACUUCCAAGUUAUUUUUUAAUAAGUGUUUAUUUACUUUUUUAGUAUUAUGCAUAACAAUGAUAUUGUCUUUUCUAUCAAAACAUGUAUAAUUAGCGUGCUAUUAUUUCGGCUUCAAAUAUGGCUUCUAUUGAAGACCCUAUUUCACAUAUUUCUGGUUCAGUAUUACCUGCUGUAAGUUUUCAUCUCUAUGUUAUAUUUCCGACCAUUAUUCCUUGAUAUCGCGUUCUUGUAGAACUGGUUCUUUAUUGCUUAAAUAUUUCUUCUUCUUUUUUUAAUUUGAGUAAAUUUAACAGAUUUUAUUUUUGUUGUCUUAUUUCUUAGCACAAAUCUGUUCGUGUGGUGAAUGAAAUUGUUCGCAACAAGAGAUUGGCAUCCCAUAACGUGAUGUACCAAGACCUACAAAGCAAAAACUUGAAGAUGCAUUUUCUAGGAGUAUAGAUAAAACUUGGAAUGAUAAUGAGGAGGCAUCGUCAUCUAUGAAUAUUUAGGAUCAGAUUCAGUUGUUGCUAAUGUGAUUUGCCUAGAAUGUUCGGUUACAAUGUGUGAUUUAGUUUCUUUGUAUUAAAGAUAUGGUAUUGUAGUUUUCUUGAAUUGGGUUGUUGUAAGUUAGCUGGACUUAGGCAUUCUGUUAACAUUUUACUUGCUGAACUUCUAAAUUCAGAUGUUUCCUUUUAUUUGAGUAACCUACAAUUUCAGUUGUAACUUUAUUAGUAAAGAGUGGAGUUUAUGUUCUAA